rnacentral:lncRNA from 1 species
AACCUCAGGUCUUAGAAUUUGUUUCUUAAGCACCAGUUGUUAAGGUCAUUUUCUCCUGGUCUGCAGCUUCCUUGAGUCACCAGCCAGCCAUCCAGUUUAGCCACCAACACCCAAGGAGAGGGCUUGAAACCCUCCUGGGUAUAAAGUAUUUGUCUUAUUAGUUUUCUGUUGCUGUGGUUAUCAUAAACUUAAGAUGGGCACCACAAUCUGUAACCGACUGUCUGAGACUAAGAAAUCCCAGGAGAAGUGUUGGUGACAUGCACUGGAGCCAGGGUGAUGGACUAUAUACACUUAAGGAAAGACAUAAGAAGAAAAAAAGUGAAAUGGAAUUGGAGGCCUCAAAAAAGUUGCCAUAAACUUAGUGGCUUAAAUCAAUGCAGAUUUUUUAUGUGACAAUUUGGGUGGUCAGAGGUCUGAUGUAUGUUUCCAUGGGCUAGAAUCGAGGUUUCAGCAGGACUGCCUCCCUUUGGAGGCUCCUGGGAAGAACCCAUUUUCUCACCUUGGCUGCUUCUCUAGGCCACCUGCAUUUCUCAGUCAUGGCUACUGCCUCUUCCUUUUGCUUCUUCCAGCAACAGUGGGUCCGGGCCUUCUCAUGAUCCCAUCUCCUUGGUUUUUCUCUCUUCCGUCUCCCUCUUCCACUUAUAAAGACCCUUAUGCUGACAUUGGGUCCAUCCCCCAAUAUAGGAUCAUCUUCCCAGGUCAAGGUCAGCUGGUCAGCAAACUUAAUGCUAGCUGAAGCCUUAAUUCCUCUUUACCAGGUAACCUUUUGUAUUCAGAUUUUGGGGAGUAGGUUGGGGAGAUCUUGGAGGCUCAUUAUUCUGCCUCCUACAGCCUGCGACUCAUUUCAGAUCCCAAUAGGGAAUCUUUGGGUUACUAACCUAUCUUGGUCCAUUCGGGCUGCUGUAACAAAAUGCCAUAGACUAAGUGGCUUAUAAACAACAGAAACGUUAUUUCUCCCAGUUCUGGAGGCUGGACCUGGACCAAGACCAAGGCCCUGGCAGAUCCAGUGUCUGCUUCAGGCCCACCUCCUAGUUCAUAGGUGGGUCUCUUCUCUCUGUGUCCUCAUGUGGCAGAAAGGACAAGGAAGCUCUCUGGGGUCUCUUUUAUAAGGGCACUGAUCUUGUUCAUCAGGCCUCUGCCCUCAUGAUGCAAUUACCCACAAAGACCCCAACUCCUCACGCCAUCACAGUGGGGGUUAGUUUUUAACAUAUGCAUUCGAGGGGACAUAAACAUUCAGUCUGGCACUAACACUAGCUCUCUUACAGGUCUUUGAAUAAUUGAGAGUUAACAGUUUAAGGACUUGUGAUCCAAGCCAAAGACCCCUGUUUUUUUGAUCAGGAAAGAACCAGGUAGAAGCUGUAAGUCAUCAUCUUUCUCUACAAAUGUGGGCGUGGUUGAGACAUGCCAGGCUCUGGUUUUUCUCUGGUUCUGAGUCACCACCACAAGGAUGCACUUGACCACAGAUGAACCCUUUCUGGGGUGCAGAUGACUGUUGAUAAUGAAUGAUAGCCAUGUGGCAGGCGCUCUUUGGCAUCUAUCAUUUCAAUUACUGCCAUCACUGAGGGGUAGGUAUUAUUGUCCCAGGUUCAAAUGAGAAAAUAGGGUUUGAGUCAAAUUGCAUAGCUUGCCCCAGGUCACAUAAUAAGUGGCAGUUCUGGGUUAGAGCCUGGGCUUAUCUGAUUUUAAUCCCUUUAUGGCCAGCCCUCAGGAAAACAUCUCUCUUAAAAAUCUUCCCAAAUAUUGCUGUUAGCCUUUAGGGAGGAGGCUGUUCAUUAGAAUUACUUGGUGUGCUUUUUAUUUUUAAUUAUUAUUUUUUUUGUCUUUCUCUCCUUUUUGGGGCUGUACCCAGGCAUAUGGAGGUUCCCAGGCUAGGGGUCCAAUCGGAGCUGUAGCUGUCAGCCUACACCAGGGCCACAGCAACGCAGGAUCUGAGCCAUGUCUGCCACCUACACUAUAGCUCAUGGCAAUGCCAGGUCCUUAACCCACUGAGCAAGGCCAGGGAUUGAACCUGCAUCCUCAUGAAUGCCAGUCAGGUUUGUUAACUGCUGAGCCACAACGGGAACUCCUGGUAUGCUUUUAAAUAGUACCAGUGGUCUGCUUCAAUCUUUGACAGGGCUUGGUCAUCUGUAUUUCUUUUAUGGCCACGCCCAUGGCACGUGGAGGUUCCCAGGCCAGGGAUCAAAUCUGAGUUGAAGCUGUGACUCACACAACAGCUGUAGCAAUGCCGGAUCCUUGACCUACUGCACUAGGUUGGGGAUCAAACCCAUGCUGCCACAGAAACAAUGCCAGAUCCUAAACCCACUGCACCAUAGAGGGAACUCUGGUCAUCUCUAUUUUAUUUUUAUUUUUUGAUUCUCUGGAUAUUAUAAUGCAUGUACUUUUAGGGUUAAGAACCACUGCCUUGGGCAUAUUGUGUAUGUUCCUAUUAACAAAUUUUGCAUCACCCUGUGCCCUUAACCUGUGCCCAGAGGUACCCCCUCUUAUUCUGUGGCUAAAGAGGAAGAGCUGAGCAGGUGGGCUUUCUCUAGUUCCCUUGGGGUUGCAUGGCCCCUCCUUGCUGUUGGCAGACUCCUUGUUGAAGGCCCCACUUUGGUGGGAGCUUCUUGGGGUGCAUUUUUGUCCUGUCCUAACUUGGCAGCUGCAGGUGGACGCUUUUUGCCUCUGUGUUCAGGCAAGUGAGCAGGGAAGCAGAGUAAAUGGCCCACGGAACAUAGGAGCAAUACCAUGCGCUUCAGAGGAAUAAAAGUACUUCAUUUCGAUCCCUCGCUCCACUUUCCCUCAUUGAUUUUAUGGUGAAAUAAGUUCUCAGGGCUACCAGCAUAAAGUGUUUUGCCAAGACAGUGAUUUACGUUUCUCCCCUGACUUCUUGUUGGUUUAGUAAAUCCACAGAAUACUUUAGAGUGGAAAGAACUUGAACGCUUGCCCAGAACAGUGGACCCGUGCUCUUUCCAGAAAGAGCAGGCAGUUGCCGUGGUGUAUAGCUGGGUUUCAGCCCCGUUUCUGUCAGAAGUUUACUCGAGCUACAGGAAGGUGAUUAACAUUCUGUGCUUUCACCACAAAAGUCCUGAGCCUGGGAGGAUGCAUCUGGAGAUUCCUUAACUUUCUGGGCCAGAUGG